rnacentral:rRNA from 1 species
UGCCUAAAACAUAGUGUUAAUGCACUGGAUCCCAUUAGAACUCCACAGUUAAGUGCACUCAAGCUAGAGUAGUACAGGGAUGGGUGAUCGCCCGGGAAGUCCUAGUGUUUUAUGUGC